CUGGAGUGCAGUGGCAUGAUCAUGGCUCACUGCAGGCUCAACCCUCUAAGCUCAAGCCAUCCUCCCACUUCAGUCUCCCUCUUCAUCUGUGCAACUCAUCUUGGGUUACGUCUGGCAGAUGGAGAGAGGAAUCUCAUUUCAAGUCGCUGCUGUCUGCAUCCCAGAGCCCUCCCGGAGCAGCCUCUAUUUCACCAAGGACAGAAGAAAGGAGGGAUGGGUGUGAUCAGCCUCCCCAAGAGAUGACAGUAAGAGGGAAGACAGCCAUGUGCAGACACAGACACACAGUGAGAAUGACAGGUGAUGACAGAGGCGGAGACUGGAGGGAUGCAGCUGCAGCCCAGGAACGCCGAGGAUUGCCAACAACCACCAGAAGCCAGGAAGAGCCAAGGAAGGUUUCCCUUUGAUGUGUCUCACAGGGAGCAUGGCCCUAACUUGAUUUUGGACUUCUAGCCUACAGACCUGUGAAACAAUACACUUCUGUUGUUUUAAGCUCUGUUUGCCUAAUUUCUUAUGGCAGUCCUAGCAAAUUAAUAUGGUGCUAGAGGCCUAAUGUAUGUAUUUUGUGUGUGUGCUGGGUGGAGGGAGUACGUGUUCUUUAACUGCAGAAGAAAAUAAGGCAACCUAUCUUAUGCAUCUAAACCAAGAAGUGUCAUCAUUUCCUGUGGAUCAACCCUCCCACUCACUCUGCUCCAGCACUGACUGGCUCCUGGCUGUGGCUGGAACACCCCAGCUGCAUUCCCUCCUUAGGGCCUUUACACCCACUGCUUCCUCUACCUGGAACAGGCCCAGGGCCAACUCCUGACUUCCUGCCUUUCCUCGAUGAGGCCCCUUCUGCAAUUUGCACUCCCACCCCACUAACCAACUUCUCUUGCUCUACUUUACUUUUUCUUUUCUCCAUGUUCUCAGUGGAUUCUAAUAUCCUAGUAACGUGUUUAUUAUAUGCAUUAUUUAUCAUCUCCAUCCAUGCUACAACAU
rnacentral:lncRNA from 1 species